rnacentral:misc_RNA from 1 species
UCCGGUUUGUCACCGGCAGUCUCCCUAGAGUUCCCGACCGAAUCGCUGGCAAAUAGGGACAAGGGUUGCGCUCGUUACGGGACUUAACCCAACAUUUCACAACACGAGCUGACGACAGCCAUGCAGCACCUGUCUGAGCGUUCCCGAAGGCACCAAUUCAUCUCUGAAAAGUUCCGAGUAUGUCAAGGGCAGGUAAGGUUCUUCGCGUUGCAUCGAAUUAAACCACAUACUCCACCGCUUGUGCGGGUCCCCGUCAAUUCCUUUGAGUUUUAGCCUUGCGGCCGUACUCCCCAGGCGGGGCGCUUAAUGCGUUAGCUACGGCACGGAUUCCGUGGAAGGAACCCACACCUAGCGCCCACCGUUUACGGCGUGGACUAC